AUGCUUUCUGACGUGAGUUAACCCAAAAACACAAAACUCACCUCUUUCAUUUCUUCAUUCUUAACUUAAUUGAGGAGUUUUGUUUCUUCAUUUCUUAAUUUAUUUCAUCUUUCUUCAAAUCUCUAUUCCUAUCAAUCACAGCUUCAAAGUUUUUCCCCUCUUUUUAUUCUAGCUUAGCAUUUCUUCAACGUCAUCUUAACUUCUCCGAUCGAUGGAGGAUCGAUAAACCCUAGGAAAACCUAGGUAUCUUAUGGUUCGAUUUAAGUCAAAUCAAACCUGCAAGUGUAUAUGUGAUCAUUUUUAUUUCGAUUUCUCUUGCGUCACGAGGUAGCACCCGUUAGCAAAAAAGGAAACAAGUACAUAGCAGAAGCAGAAAAGAAAUAUGGCCCCUCCAAAAGUUCUAAUGGUUGCAGAGAAGCCUAGCAUUUCUCUUUCUAUUGCCUCUGUUCUCUCCCACGGCCAGGUGCUUCACUUCCUCUUCUCCUACUUUCUCCUUUCUCAUUUCAUAUUCAAACCUUCUAACUUGAAAAUUUUCUAUUUCCUCUGUUUAAUGUUUCAUCUUCGUGAAAAAAUGGGGGAAACAACAGACUCAAGCAUUUUGUUAGGAAUUUAGUUUGAUAUUUUUGAUUUCGUGUCUUAAAAAAAAAAUUGGAAAUAAAACUGUGAGCCAAAAAAUGCAAUGAAGCUGUCCAAUUGUUGUGUGGUAUUUCUUUUCUUUAUUAUUAUUUAACUUUUUGAUUUAGAAUGUUACGAUUUUUUGCAUAAUAUUUUUUAUGUAUCACUAUCUGUGACUUUUUGAAGCACAUUUAUGUGUACGAUGUUUACAAGAAAGGGAAGCACAGAAGUUCAUGUAUGUCAAGUAGGCCUAAUACCCCAAAGACCACUAGAUCAACAACUCCAAACUCAAGCAGCAGACUAACAACACCAAGUCCUUCUAAUGCAAGAUUAAGGUAUCCUUCGGAGUCACUGAAAGGGGCAACAACAAAGAUAUAGAACAACACCCCAGUAAAAGUAAACGUCUCUUGAAGGCCUUACUUAGCAGGCGCAAGUCUAAGAAAGUUUGACCUUGAAGCAGAGGAGUAUGUUUCACUUCCUAAGGGAGAGGUUCACAAAAAAAGGAGAUUGUUCAGUUUUUCUCCUGUGUCCAAAGAUAAUGCUCAAGCUUGGGUACUUUCUCCUUGGUUGGCGUGUGUGUAAAAAAAUCGUAAAUCGUAUUUUUUUACAGGUGUUUGUGGCAGCCUUCAAAAAAAGACAACUUCGAAUUCCAGAGAAUACAAACGAACUACAUGAGAUUCGUGAAAAAGAAAGAAGGGACAAUUAUGAAGUUCUUAAAAGGACAGAACAAUUCAGGUCACAAAAUAUAUACAUAUAAAAAAAAUAUUCUAAUCCUCUAAACUGUAAUGUCACAUGACCAAUAAUCAUUGAUUAGAAGUACUGUUUAUCUCUUGCUCAUUUGGUUUUCUUGAAAAAAUGGAUUCCCAGAUUCUUGGACUGGGCAACAAUUUCCAGAAGCAGUAUUUGGGCUUUGCCAUGUAUUAUGGAGUCUUUGUACUUGUGAAGUUGUGAUAGAUAUUGCUUGCUCAGAAUGAUCCCUUUUAAAACACAGAUAAUUAUUCAACAAUCCUUU